AUGUUGGCUUACUUCUGCCCCUCUGGUUUGGAGAGUGUGCGCUCUCAGCUCUGCUGGGCCGGUCGUGCUCUCUUGCUGAUUCUUACCUGCAGCUCCAACAUGAAAGCCUACAAAUCGACUCUUGAGAUUUGUCUUCAAAAUAGGAUUUUUUUUUUACUAUUACAUACUCUACUGAAGUUACAUGAUGUGCAGUUUAGAAAGUUGAUUACUGGGGGACUUUUACUACAUGUCCAAUUAUGGUUUCAUGAUAAAAGGAUCAUGCACCAAACGUUUGUUGAAUUGCUGCUUCAAGAAAAUGUAUGGAGUUUUCAUUGCGUGCUUCAAGUCAUUAACCAGAAUAAUUUGAUGAACCACCAUGUCGCCCUUCCGCUUGGUUCCAUGGGAAAGCAAUUUACAAAGCUCCAGAUAGAGUAUAGAGUUGUAUGCAGGAUAUAG
rnacentral:rRNA from 1 species